CAUCUCUCUCACCUCUCCGCAUACAAUCUAUCUCAGCCAAUCCAGAAUGUUGGUCAAGCUGUCUCCGCAAACAACCAUCUUCAUCUUUUCUAACCUCAACUUUAAAUCCUUCGGCUAAGACAUCUGGAAGGGCAGGCAGGGAGUAAAAUUAGAAGAUCGGAGCUGUACAUUGGGAAAGCUGGAAGAUACUUCAGGCGCGCAAAUGUUGUUCCAAAAUCGAAGUGAUUGAACUUAGGAAUUUUGCGAAGACGUGAGCGCAGGAGUUGGUACGAAGGGUUUUUUUCUGUUAUUAGGUACUUAGGAACAUUAAAAUCUUAUGUUCGAAAUAAAAGUAGGCCUGAAGGUUCGAUUGCUCAAGGCUACUUGGCAGAAGAAUGCAUUAACUUUUGCUCAUUGUAUCUUGCGGACUAUGUUGAGACAAAAUUCAAUCGUCCAAGCAGAAAUGAAGAAGUACAUAAGGAAAUUGAAGAUGGUUUAGAUAUAUUCUCUGAAUCAGGACAUCCUUUGGGGAGGGGCAAGCCAACAGUCUUUGAUGCUCAUAUCUUGA